rnacentral:rRNA from 1 species
AGAUUGAACGCUGGCGGCAGGCCUAACACAUGCAAGUCGAGCGGUAGAGAGGUGCUUGCACCUCUUGAGAGCGGCGGACGGGUGAGUAAUGCCUAGGAAUCUGCCUAGUGGUGGGGGAUAACGUUCGGAAACGGACGCUAAUACCGCAUACGUCCUACGGGAGAAAGCGGGGGACCUUCGGGCCUCGCGCCAUUAGAUGAGCCUAGGUCGGAUUAGCUAGUUGGUGAGGUAAUGGCUCACCAAGGCGACGAUCCCGUAACUGGUCUGAGAGGAUGAUCAGUCACACUGGAACUGAGACACGGUCCAGACUCCUACGGGAGCAGCGUAGGGUA